UAGGGAAUCUUCNNNCAAUGGACGGAAGUCUGACCGAGCAACGCCGCGUGAGUGAAGAAGGUUUUCGGAUCGUAAAGCUCUGUUGUAAGAGAAGAACGAGUGUGAGAGUGGAAAGUUCACACUGUGACGGUAUCUUACCAGAAAGGGACGGCUAACUACGUGCCAGCAGCCGCGGUAAUACGUAGGUCCCGAGCGUUGUCCGGAUUUAUUGGGCGUAAAGCGAGCGCAGGCGGUUAGAUAAGUCUGAAGUUAAAGGCUGUGGCUUAACCAUAGUACGCUUUGGAAACUGUUUAACUUGAGUGCAAGAGGGGAGAGUGGAAUUCCAUGUGUAGCGGUGAAAUGCGUAGAUAUAUGGAGGAACACCGGUGGCGAAAGCGGCUCUCUGGCUUGUAACUGACGCUGAGGCUCGAAAGCGUGGGGAGCAAACAGGAUUAGAUACCCUGGUAGUCCACGCCGUAAACGAUGAGUGCUAGGUGUUAGACCCUUUCCGGGGUUUAGUGCCGCAGCUAACGCAUUAAGCACUCCGCCUGGGGAGUACGACCGCGAGGUUG
rnacentral:rRNA from 1 species